AACAUGAUAAAGGCUAAGAGAUUUUAUGCUAACACUUAACCAGUUCCACAAAGCUUUGUUGUCUAUUUGAGCUCCAUAGAAUUAAAGGAUCAAGGAAGACUAGCAGACGGAGGAUAUCCUAAUCGCUAUCAGGGUGCUGCCAACAUUCAAAUACACCUACGCCACCUGUUAGCUACAUCAGAAGAAAUUACGUUAAAAUCCAGCUUGGAGGAGAGCACCCCCAUUUAUCCAGCUAAGUGUUUCUACUCACAUUUAUACAUUACUCAUAUAAUAAAAAAAUGCAUAAUCAUAAAAACCCAAAUAAAGAUUUUAUGCUUAUAUAUAUAUAUAUCUUUGCUUAGUUUGCUAAAUAAAUAAAUAAAUAAAGUUUGCUAUGAACCCUCAUGAUAAGCUCUCACAUGGAAAUGAUGAAUAGUUGUUCUGCCAUGACUAGUUCUCAAAAUUGAAAUCUCUCUCAAGUUUAGGCAUGACUGUUAUUAAUUAAGCUUUGCUCUAAACCUGAACUUGUGGGAAGAGCACUUGAUCUAAAGUCUAAGUCGUUAAUAGAUAUGAUAUGGGAAGGUUGAGCUGCUGUUUAUCUCUUCCUAGAGAUGCUAGAAUUCUGGAGAAUUUUAUCAUUGAAAAUCUUUAAAAUGUUGCAUGAUGAGUUCCUGUAUGAUGAGAGUUUAAAAUCCUACCACAGCGACAUAUACUAGCUUAUUAGACUAUGAACCAUACAUUCACUUUUUACUGCUUAUGAGCAUUGAGUGUGGUCAAGCUGUGUAGACCCUUAGGAGCUUGUCAUGCGGUUAAAAUCAAGAUUCACUUGCACGUUCACUCAUACAUGCUGCUUCUACUUCAGAAGUACGCAUCCACAUACAUCCAAUCUUUCCAUAUCUAGAUUCACCCAAAAUUAUUCUACUCCUAUCUAGGAGAGAAUAGCCAAAAACAUUAUCCUAUCUCUGUUAUUCCCUGUGAAAUAAAUGCUCGAGAUAUUUUGGUUACUACAACUUGCUACAUUAUUCCAGGAGGGUGAGUGCUCUGAAAAAAAAGUGAAUACGAGGAAAUAAAAAGGGGCAAGUAUCCAAAACCUCGAAAAAAAAAAAGUGAGACGAGAGGUAAAAAUGGACAAGUGUAAUUAGGGGUACAAGAUACCCACCUGAGUGAAAAGAAAAAUAAAAUAUACAGCGUCUCAUUCCCCUCAUAAUGCCUCAAGUGCAAGAAAGGUAUGUACCCCCUCAAAAGAGCAAAAGUAGAAUUAGACUUUCACCAUUAUCACCAUUCAUUCGCCACACAUGCACAUCUUGGUUUGACUUAUUGACUUGUUCUUCUGGAUCCAUGGUUUGACUAUGCAAUAGGUGUCUUGUAAGUAUGUAUUAGCUGUCUCCCACCUAUGAGCUCCAGUUAUCAAAACCUUAUUAGAGUAGGGUGAGAGAGAAGGCAAUACCACUAUGCCUCAUACCAAAAAUACCACAUACUUUGAGAGAAGGCAUACACCAUUACUGCCUUGGUAAGGAUCCAGAAAUACCACAAAAGAGAGACUAGAGAGAGUCAUACAAGGAAUCUCUGAGUUUUAUUAGAAAAUCUACAAAAACUCCAGAGCUAUAGUUAAUCGAAGAACAAGAGACAUGGCGCUUGACUAGACCGUUCUAUCUUUUAACUGCUCAAGACACAAGUGACGGUUGCAAGCCCCAUAGUGGAAGGUAAAAUGAGUAAGUUUAAAUCUUAACAGUUUACCCUAACUCAGAGAUGAGAUCUUGUUUGAACGCAUGUGUACCUUUAAGGCAUGAAACCACUGCAGAAACUCUUGAGUCUAUCUUUGCUCAGGGACGAGCAAAGGUUAAGCUUAGGGGAGCUUGUUGACAGUCCUUAAUGCUCACAUUUAACCGUCAAGUAAUCAUGAAAAAGGAUCCAAAUGCAACCG
rnacentral:lncRNA from 1 species